rnacentral:rRNA from 1 species
UACGUAGGGUGCGAGCGUUGUCCGGAUUUAUUGGGCGUAAAGAGCUUGUAGGCGGCUCGUCACGUCGGGUGUGAAAACUCGCGGCUCAACCGCGAGCCUGCACCCGAUACGGGCGGGCUAGAGUCCGGAAGAGGAGAGUGGAAUUCCUGGUGUAGCGGUGAAAUGCGCAGAUAUCAGGAAGAACACCCGUGGCUAAGGCGGCUCUCUAGUAACGGUACUGACGCUGAGACGCGAAAAGCGUGGGGAGCGAACAGG